UGAUUAGUAGAAGCCAAAAAUCGACGAUUGGCGCCAUUUUGAAAUCUAAGACGAUUGACUUGGUUUGUUUGAUAGAGCCCAUCAAACAAAUUUUCAUGCAAGAGGUGACAGAAUGGGGUCAAUGCACUUAAAAAAUCGGGGGUAGACUGAAUCAGGCACAGACAAUAUCGGUGGCUGAUAAUAUCGGAUCUUCCCUAUAUUUCUAAGUACUUCGAUAGUACCAUUAAAAAUAACUAUGUUUCUAGAAUCAUCCAUUUCGUAAACUAGCAUUCGGUGAAAUGGAAAUCAUCGUACUGACGCUCUUCCUUUUUUCAAAUCAUCUAUCUAUUGCUUUUAACCCUUUCAUUCCCAAAGUUUUUCUUGUGCAUGUAGGGUUUCAAAACUAUUUUUUCUUGAAAACAGUGAUGUUAAGAAACACGAAUUCUUUUUUCAUAAAGAUAGGAGCUUCCCUCGCAGCACUAGAAGCUGCUCAAUUUCUACCUUCUAAUGGUCAAUACAAUUCCCCUAGAAUAUUCGAUAUGAAACAGAUUUUGCUUAGUGACCGCACCCCACAACCCAUAACUCUGGAAUCGGAAAUCGGAUCGAGAUGAAAUUUAAUAGCCAUUUAAGGGGAUAAAACACCUUUCAUUUGAGACCAAGUUUGGUCGAAUCUCCGAAAAACCAAUGAGACUGUAACUCUUAAUUUGGAUACUUCCGCCGGGGCUUCCGGAACCGACGAUGGUGGCCAAUGUGACCAAAGAGACUUUGAAUGGCUGUUAGUGACCUAGUACUACAAAUCUAAGUAGAUGUGGCACCAGUUUGAAAAAGUUUUCACCUUUAUACAUUCAUUACAGAAUUUUUUAAAAUCAACAUUUUCUGCGUGAUCGUACUCUUCACUCUGUAACUCCGGAACCGGAAGUCAGAUCCAUUAUAAAUUCAAUAGCAGCCUACAGGAUACACGUUUCAUUUGAGACUAAGUUUAUGAAAAUCGGUUCAGCCAUCUCUGAGAAAAGUGAGUGAGAUUGUGGUCACAUACACACAGAGAAUUGACGGACUGAAUCGAAUGGUAUAUGUCACUCGAGCCUCCGGUUCUCCGUUGAAAAGACGGUUUUCAGAGCAGUUUUUCUAUUGAGAAAGGCAAAACGUAAAUCGUACGAACAAGUUAUAGCAAAUAGUGAUACAUUUAACACUUUUAUAAUGAGUGGCUCAUGUCCCUUCAGAUUUGACCGCACUUACCGCUUGAUGACGUCCCAGUUUGAUAUUUCUUUUGAGUGGUUUGAGAAAACUGAGAAAACGAAAAUCGUCAACGCAGGCCUGGAUACGGUUAAAGAAAUAUAAAUAAAUUUUGGUAGCCUCGCAUCGUUUUCCGGAGCAGUUGGAUAUGUAAGGAUAUUUAUUAUUUUAAAUCUAGUCCUGUAAUUUAAUUCUAUUAAUCGAAUCGUAUAUUUAAAGCAUUGUCAUCAAUACCCCCAGGGUUGCAAAAUUGAUUCGGUUCUGUGACUCCGAAUCUAAAGAAUAUGGCGUGCGACAUCGAAGAAUUUAUUCCGUGCAUUUUAGGUCGUCUUGUUUCAAACACCUAUUAAAUCUAUCUAAAGGGAAAAUGUUGCAAAAUUACACAAACUAAAAAUUAAAAAUUGACGCGUUUCGUUUUGCAGAUGAUGAUCGAGUUGCACUUUUUGUUGCCAACGAACGGAAAACAAAUAAUUGAAGAAAUUUUUCUCCUCAAAAUAUUUGAUUAUUUCUGCUGCCUCUGCACUCCUUGCUGUCGUUCGAUUCCGUUCACGUGGCUUCGACGUGCUGCCUCGAGGAUCGGCAACUCGUUGGUAGCGAGCCGCGUGGCUUGUUUCGAUAUUCCACCUGUUGCUAUGGGCCUUGGUUGCCUCUAGAUGACCUCGCAUCUGCGUGGUGACUUCAGGAAACUAUUCAGUCAUGUCAAACUGAGGCUUCCAAUAGUCAACACCGGUGAAACAACGUCAUCUCGGUUAUUGACUUCAGAUACAUCGAGCAAUACGGAACAUUUGAACAAGACUGUAGCUUACCCGAGCUCCGAGCCACUACAAUUCCAUUUGACUUCAGUCAUACCGGCUGGAAUAUAAUAUAGAAUUCUGGCUGUCUAAGAGACAAGUAUUUUAAUUGUGCAUUCAUUUUUAUUUGUUUUUUGUUGAUGAUUAAUUCAUUUCAAAUAUAUUUGUAGUUGGAACUGUGGCCACAUUUGCAAUUAUGGUGCCACUGACAUAUGAGCAAGCGUAUGGGGGAUAGACCACUAGUGAAUAAUUGUUCUUAAACCUGAGGGGUAACCACCCAUAUUGAUGGUGGUUUUAAGUGUUUUGUUACCAGCCACCAUCUUGGAUUUCAA